ensembl:snRNA U6 U6 spliceosomal RNA
GUGCUCGCUUCGGCAGCGCAGAUACUAAAACCGGACCGAUACAGAGAAGAUUAGCAUGGCCCCUGCGCAAGGAUGACGCGCAAAUCUGUGAAGGGUUCCGUAUAUUU